UGGUCUUAUCAACACCCGGUCGAGAAGAUAACUCUUCUUUCUUUCUUUCUUUCUUUCCUUCUUCUUUCUUAUUUCUCUUUUCUUUUCUCUCUUUCUUUUUCUCCUUCUUUUCUCCGGCGAUUCAGAGAUGAAGUCUUUGUCAAGGAACUUCACUGAAAAUUAGUAAAACCAAUCAAUCGAGUGUGGUGUUUAUGAUUUAAUAGUUUUGGUUUGGUUAGAAACUUCGAUUGAGUUGAGGAGAAGUGAUUCUGUGAAGAAAUUAGGGUUCCUAAAAUCAAUUUCGGGAUUCAGUUAGGGGUGAAUAAGAAAGAAUUAAAGGACGAGUUUGAUAAAUUGGCAAGUUUGAUUGAUAUUUUGAGGUUGAAUCAGAGAAUAGAAUAUUUGAGAAUUGAAUUAGGGUUUGAGUUGGAAAUUCAGAUGAAGAACUAGAUGAUGAAAUUGAAGGUUUAAUUGACGAACUAAAGAUGGGUUUUGAUUGAAUUGAAGUUUUGAAGUUGAUUCGGUGACGAAUCAUUGAAUCGGGUUUGGUGUUCUGUUCAUCCCCAAUUUAUGAGUUUGGGUUGAUUAUGAAGUAAUUGAGUGAAAUAACAAGAUAUUAAAGGUUGGGUUUUACGAUAUGAUGUGAAGAUGAAGGUUAUUAGUCUAAUUCCAAAGAAAAACAGUUAGUUGUCAAUAUGAGAAGUUAGGGUUUGGUUUGAUUGAGGUUAAUUAGAAUUGGUUGAAUAAUGGAUUAGAGCUUCAUGGAUUUAGUAUUUCAAAGAUGGAAUUGGCUGUAAUGAACUGAUGAUUCAGAUUGAAGAAGGGAUUGAUUUCAAUUGGUUGAGACACUCUGUUUUGAGGAUGAUUGUGUUAAGACAGGUUUCGAAGUAUUGUUAAAGUUUGGGGGAUAUGAAUAAGUUUGGGUAGUAAUGAUGUUGAAGUUAAACUGAUGUUGUUGGUUGUAUAGCUGAAGUUUGAAGUGAUUAAGCUAAGAUGCAUGAACUGGUAUAAGGGGAUUGAAAUGAAGUUGAAGUUGCAACUGUAUCUGGUGGUUAAAUGAGGGAGCUGAAAUGAUAUGUUGAAUCUGGUGUUAUGUAUGUUGAUGAUACAAUUCUUAAGAGUGGAGAUAAUAGUUGAGAUGAGAUGCAGCUGCAGCUAAAUUGCAUAUUUAGAGUUGCUGGUGCUAUGUGGAUUGUUGGUUUAAGGAUUAGCUGGAGUUAUAAUCACAGAGAUGAAGUGAGAGUGGUUGGUUGUAUUCAUGUUUCAUCAGUGGCCUUAGUGAAAGCCUGCAACUAAAAAUCUAGUUUCAGAGACAGAUCAGAGUUGCGCAGCGAAAGCUUCGAGGAGUUGACUCCGUUAAUUAGUUAACUUCUGCUAUGUUUAUUAUGUUGUGUAUUCUAUUUGCAAACCAAAUGACUAUUGUAUAUGUAUCACUUGAGAGUAUUUCUUGUAUAUGUAUUUCGGAGAGGGGAUAGUUUUUGGGUUAAGUUUUGUAGCAGAUUUCUUAAUUGAAUGUUUAAGUAUAUGAUU